AUUGAACGCUGGCGGCAUGCCUUACACAUGCAAGUCGAACGGCAGCAUGAUCUAGCUUGCUAGAUUGAUGGCGAGUGGCGAACGUGUGAGUAAUACAUCGGAACGUGCCCUGUAGUGGGGGAUAACUAGUCGAAAGAUUAGCUAAUACCGCAUACGACCUGAGGGUGAAAGUGGGGGACCGCAAGGCCUCAUGCUAUAGGAGCGGCCGAUGUCUGAUUAGCUAGUUGGUGAGGUAAAGGCUCACCAAGGCGACGAUCAGUAGCUGGUCUGAGAGGACGAUCAGCCACACUGGGACUGAGACACGGCCCAGACUCCUACGGGAGGCAGCAGUAGGGAAUUUUGGGCAAUGGGCGAAAGCCUGAUCCAGCAAUGCCGCGUGAGUGAAGAAGGCCUUCGGGUUGUAAAACACUUUUGUCCGGAAAGAAAAGACUCUGGUUAAUACCUGGAGUCGAUGACGGUACCGGAAGAAUAAGGACCGGCUAACUACGUG
rnacentral:rRNA from 1 species